rnacentral:rRNA from 1 species
UACGGGGGGUGCAAGCGUUAUCCGGAUUCACUGGGUUUAAAGGGUGCGUAGGCGGGCAGGUAAGUCCGUGGUGAAAUCUCUGAGCUUAACUCAGAAACUGCCAUGGAUACUAUUUGUCUUGAAUAUUGUGGAGGUAAGCGGAAUAUGUCAUGUAGCGGUGAAAUGCUUAGAUAUGACAUAGAACACCAAUUGCGAAGGCAGCUUACUACACAGUUAUUGACGCUGAGGCACGAAAAGCGUGGGGGAUCAAACAGG